UACAGAGGGUGCGAGCGUUGUCCGGAAUCACUGGGCGUAAAGGGCGCGUAGGUGGCCCGACAAGUCUGUGGUGAAAGCUCGACGCUCAACGUCGAGUCGGCCAUAGAUACUGUUGGGCUGGAGCACUGUAGAGGCUCAUGGAAUUCCGGGUGUAGCGGUGGAAUGCGUAGAGAUCCGGAAGAACACCGGUGGCGAAGGCGGCCUGCUGGGCAGUAGCUGACGCUGAGGCGCGACAGCGUGGGGAGCAAACAGG
rnacentral:rRNA from 1 species